GACGAACGCUGGCGGCGUGCUUAACACAUGCAAGUCGAACGGGAAGGCCCUGCUUUUGUGGGGUGCUCGAGUGGCGAACGGGUGUGUAACACGUGAGUAACCUGCCCUUGACUUUGGUAUAACUUCAGGAAACUGGGGCUAAUACCGGAUAGGAGCUCCUGCUCCAUGGUGUGGGUUGGAAAGUUUCGGCGGUUGGGGAUGUACUCGCGGCUUAUCAGCUUGUUGGUGGGGUAGUGGCUUACCACGGCUUUGACGGGUAGCCGGCCUGAGAGGGUGACCGGCCACAUUGGGACUGAGAUACGGCCCAGACUCCUACGGGAGGCAGCAGUGGGGAAUAUUGCACAAUGGGCGGAAGACUGAUGCAGCAACGCCGCGUGCGGGAUGACGGCCUUCGGGUUGUAAACAGCGUUCGCCUGUGACGAAGCGUGAGUGACGGUAAUGGGUAAAGAAGCACCGGCUAACUACGUG
rnacentral:rRNA from 1 species